UUUCAUGGCAGACCAUUGCGUUAGAAUUAGAAUCUAACAACCUCUUAUU
rnacentral:tRNA from 1 species